UGGACGCUCGCGCUAACAGCAUUGCAGUGACCCAGCCCUACAUGUUCGAGCCAUCAGAGCCAGACACUGACUCAGACAAUGAACCUGCACAAUCUCGUGCCUCACAGUCUGCAACAGAAUGGUGCACAUGUGGAGAAUGCAGAACAAUGCCCACAGAGGUUGAAAAUGUCUGCUGCAAGGAGCUGAAUGCUGUUCAGAGUAGAUGUGGAGAGCUGCCUGAAGAGCCACGCUGCAUGACUCUUCAUCCAGGCUUGGAGCCAGUCUGCC